CGCAGUGCCAGAAUGGAAGGAAGACUUCAAGAAGGAGGGCAGCUCCAUGGAGAGACUGGAUUCUUCGCUCCUUUGGUUGCCGCCUCUCUCGGCCUCGAUUAUCUCGGAUGUCUUCAAACGGCCUGGUACAUGGCUCUUCCUCACAGCUCCGAAGCCAGAGAGGAAGGAGCGGUCCCUCCAAUCCCAUUCAUUGCUGCUCAAGGGAGCAUUCUGAUUGGCCCAGCUCAAGGCUGGCCUCGUUGCAUCAACGCCUGGAGAGCAUCCAGAGGGCCCCCCUUGGUGGCAAAAGUUACCGAAUUCCUGCCACAUCUUAUUCCAGUUAAAACUGUGUUACCUCAAGGACUGGUCUUCAAGAAAGAUAGAAAGCCUGUUUCCACUUCGAUUUACAUCACCAUCAAAAGGUGUGCUCCUAGUUAAUGCUGCAAAUAUGGUG
rnacentral:lncRNA from 1 species